GCCGUGGCUCAGUGGUAGAACAUCUGCCUGGCACGCAGAACGAUCCAGGUUCAAACCCUGGCAUCUCCU